GUUGGUGGCAAGCGUUGUCCGGAAUUAUUGGGCGUAAAGCGCGCGCAGGCGGUUCGUUUAAGUCUGAUGUGAAAGCCCACGGGCUCAACCGUGGAGGGUCAUUGGAAACUGGAGAACUUGAGUACAGAAGAGGAAAGCGGAAUUCCACGUGUAGCGGUGAAAUGCGUAGAGAUGUGGAGGAACACCAGUGGCGAAGGCGGCUUUCUGGUCUGUAACUGACGCUGAGGCGCGAAAGCGUGGGGAGCAAACAGGAUUAGGUACCCUGGUAGUCCACGCCGUAAACGAUGAGUGCUAAGUGUUAGGGGGUUUCCGCCCCUUAGUGCUGCAGCUAACGCAUUAAGCACUCCGCCUGGGGAGUACGGCCGCAAAGGCUGA
rnacentral:rRNA from 1 species